rnacentral:rRNA from 1 species
GACGAACGCUGGCGGCGUGCUUAACACAUGCAAGUCGAACGAAGAGCGAUGGAAGCUUGCUUCUAUCACUCUUAGUGGCGAACGGGUGAGUAACGCGUAAUCAACCUGCCCUUCAGAGGGGGACAACAGUUGGAAACGACUGCUAAUACCGCAUACGAUCUAAUCUCGGCAUCGAGGAUAGAUGAAAGGUGGCCUCUACAUGUAAGCUAUCACUGAAGGAGGGGAUUGCGUCUGAUUAGCUAGUUGGAGGGGUAACGGCCCACCAAGGCGAUGAUCAGUAGCCGGUCUGAAAGGAUGAACGGCCACAUUAGGACUGAGACACGGCCCAGACUCCUACGGGAGGCAGCAGUGGGGAAUCUUCCGCAAUGGACGAAAGUCUGACGGAGCAACGCCGCGUGAGCGAUGACGGCCUUCGGGUUGUAAAGCUCUGUUAAUCGGGACGAAAGGCCUUCUUGCGAAUAGUGAGAAGGAUUGACGGUACCGGAAUAGAAAGCCACGGCUAACUACGU